GAAAGUAAUGAAUUUGUUCCA
rnacentral:miRNA from 1 species